rnacentral:lncRNA from 1 species
CCAUCAUAUUUGAAAAGUUGUAGCUGUCAGGCGAAGGGUCCAGGGAGUAGAAAAAGGGAAAUGUCACUCUCAUUUACAGGAAAAGAAAGAAGGAGGACCCAAGGAACUACAGGCCGGUGAGCCUCACCUCUUUGCCUGGUAACAUCGUGGAACAGAUCCUCCUAGAAUAGUCUUUGGGUCAUAUCAACCAUUGGCUACCAGCAAUGUUCAAAGAGUUUUGCAGUGGCCCUUGGUGGUUUCUACAGGGAUAACUGCUGUUCAUGGAGCAUUUGUUGGAUGCAGAAGCUGAAAAACCUGUGCAGUGAGGCAAGCCAGCACAGCUCAGUGUGUGGACUUUCAGGAGCUUCUCUGCAAUAAGGAAGCAGGAAAGCCUUCUAGAGAAAGAAAUUGUGUGAAGGCAUCUCUGAAGCAAAUUGCUUUUAGUGUGUACAACAUUGAGCUCUGGUCUUUAUCUGUGCAAUAUGUGCACCAUUCUAGCGAUCUAUGAAAAUGAGACCUGAGUGUCAUGAUGCACCAGAGUGUCUUGAUUUGUUUUGUGAGGAAUCCAGAUGUAUGAACUGGGAGAAGAUGAUGGACUUUUCUAAUAACUCUCUUGUUCUGACCAGGGCUCUGGAGAUGUUGCAUCUCUGGUGUCCAUGUUGUUUGGAGAAAUCCAUAACUGAAGGGACUCAAUCAGGUACAGGUAUCAGCACAGCUGUGAAUGUACUGAAAUCACAACAGGGCCUAUAUUCCACCAUGUGUAAUCUGCGCUCCUGCAGUUUAAAUGAUACCCAGCUGGUCAAGGCUGACUCAGUCAGACCUGACUCUACAUGGCAUCACACACCUAAUCAGAGUGCCUAGGUUUGAAGACCUAGAAUAAUAAUAUAAAAUACAAAAAUCGAUGAGAUAUUGCCAUUAACUUCUAUGUGUCUGCAUAGCCAGAAAUCUUCCUAAUUUCACCUCUAUUAAUGCUAAUGUCAAUGCAAAAACUUGGAGAAACUGCCUGUUUGCAGCACUACGUUAAAUCUUUUGCAGUAUUUGUUUCUUCAGUACUGACGUUACUGGUGUUCUUUAAGUUAUGCCCAUUGUUCACAGUGUCAUAUUGGAAUACAGAUAGAGAUUCUAAUAAAG